AGUAAACUAGGUUUCAGAGGAUUUGUGAGAGAUGUUAUCGGUAGGCCAUAAGAGCAGUGUGUAGAUCGAGUUGUUUCUUAGCUUCACAAAGAAAUGGAAGCAAGACUGUUUGUGGAUUGUCUCCUUUAACGGCAAUGACUCAGAGCUUUGUCACUUCCACCUCAAGAGCAAUGUAGGACAUGCCUUAGAGCGGAAGCUCCAAGGCGGUGAGAUCAGGGCUGGAAACAAACUGGGUUGGAGGUGUUUGUAUGAGAGGUUCCCGGUAGGCUGUAAGAGCCCAGGGGAAAGCGAGUUCAUUCUCACCUUGUGAAAGAGCUGUAAGCAAGACGGUCUGUGCCCUGUCUCCUCUUAAGGAAGACAGGCAGAGCUUUGUGACUUCCACGUCUAGGGCAAUGUAUUACAUGGCAGAGGAUAAGUUCUGCUUCAGCGAAAUCAGGGCUGGAAAGAACGGCGUUUGACAGGCCUUUGUGAGAGAUGUUGCCGGUAGGCUGUAAGAGCACUGUGGAGAGUGAGUUGUUUCUUAGCUUCCCAAAGAGCUAGAAGCAAGACACUUUGUGGCUUGUCUCCUUGGAGAAAAUGAGUCAGCAGUUUGUCACUUCCACCUCUAUAGCAAUGUACUACAUGGCUUAGAGCAGAAGUUCCAAGGCGGUGAGAUCAUGCCUGGAAAAACUGUAUUUCUGUGCUUUGUAUCAGAGGUUCCCAGCUGGCUGUAAGAGUCCUAUGGAAAGCGAGUUCUUUCUCACCUUGCCAAAGAGCUGGAAGCGAGACGGUAUGUGGCCUGUCUCCUCUUAAGUAAGUCAGGCAGCCCAUUGUACGGCCACCUCUAGUGAAAUGUAUUACUUGGCAGAGCAGAAGUUCUAAUCCAGUGAGAUCAGGGCUGGGAAGAAACUGCGUUUCAAAGGCCUUUGUGAGAGAUGUUCCUGGCAGGCUGUAAGAGCACUGUGCAGAGCGAGUUGUUUCUUAGCUUCCCAAAGAGCAGAAGCAAGAUGCAUUGUGGCCUGCCUCCCCUUGAGGAAACAAGGCAG
rnacentral:lncRNA from 1 species